rnacentral:rRNA from 1 species
AUGCUUAACACAUGCAAGUCGAACGGAAACGAUACUAGCUUGCUAGUAGGCGUCGAGUGGCGGACGGGUGAGUAACGCGUAGGAAUCUGCCUGAUAGUGGGGGAUAGCCCGGAGAAAUUCGGAUUAAUACCGCAUAAUCUAUUCGUAGUAAAGUGGGGGACUUUCGAGCCUCACGCUAUCAGAUGAGCCUGCGUAAGAUUAGCUUGUUGGUAGGGUAAAAGCCUACCAAGGCGACGAUCUUUAGCUGGUCUGAGAGGAUGAUCAGCCACAUCGGGACUGAGACACGGCCCGAACUCCUACGGGAGGCAGCAGUGGGGAAUAUUGGACAAUGGGGGCAACCCUGAUCCAGCAAUACCGCGUGUGUGAAGAAGGCCUGAGGGUUGUAAAGCACUUUCAAUUGUGAAGAAAAGUUAACGGUUAAUAACCGUUAGCCUUGACGUUAAC